rnacentral:misc_RNA from 1 species
CAGAGUGUAAAAACUCCCAAACCCCUGUGAACGUACCUGUCGUUGCUUCGGCGGAUCGCCCCGGGCGCUGUAAGGUGCCCCGGAGUCAGGCGCCCGCCGGAGGACUACAAACUCUUGUUUUAUACCGGAAUUCUCUGAGUGGCAUGUCUCAUGCAAAACAAAAUGAAUCA